UACGUAGGGUGCAAGCGUUGUCCGGAAUUAUUGGGCGUAAAGAGCUCGUAGGCGGUCUGUCGCGUCGGCUGUGAAAACCCGGGGCCCAACCCCGGGCCUGCAGUCGAUACGGGCAGACUAGAGUGCGGUAGGGGAGACUGGAAUUCCUGGUGUAGCGGUGAAAUGCGCAGAUAUCAGGAGGAACACCGGUGGCGAAGGCGGGUCUCUGGGCCGAUACUGACGCUGAGGAGCGAAAGCGUGGGGAGCAAACAGG
rnacentral:rRNA from 1 species